UGAUAAAGAUAUAAUGUGUUAUCUGGGAUGUAUGAUACUCUAUUUUAUCUAUGUGAAAAAUGAAAUGGAAGUGCUAUUUGAAUAUUAAUAAGUUGGGAAUUAACUUCAUCCAUGGCUGGAUAAUCUGUGGUGCUCCAGAUGUUACUGAAAUAUUACUGGAAACAUUCUGUAUUGGUCAUGUUGAAUGGGUACCAGCACAAUCACCAGAGCUGUCCUUGUGGAGUCCUUUCAUGCAUUCUUGAGUGAAUACUGCACCUGUUUUUGGGAAGAAACCUUUUAUAAGGGUGCUAUUUCUCCUGUUAAGAUUGCAGCACUUGGUCCUCGGCAACUGCCAACUUUUCCUGAUGUGAAUGUAAAGAUAAAAGGAGGUAACAUAGACCAUCAGCAUGCUGCAAACGUUCUGAAAAAGUCAAAAAGCUUUGAAGUACAACAUUCCAAGGAUCGGCCAUUAUCAGCUCGAGAAAGGAGAAGAUUAAAGCAAUCCCAAGAGGACAUGCUUUCUUCUGGGCCUUCUAUAAGACAAAUGUCUUAUAAUGCAUCAACAGAAACAAAACUUCCAAAGGAAGACAGUUCUAUUCAGAUUGCUCAGUUUACUUCAGAAUCCAGCACUGGUAAGAAGAAAAGCUUAACUGGUUGUUGCACUGAGGAUGAACUGAGCUCUUCUGCAAGCUCCACAGAAAAAUCAGAUGGAGAUUAUAAAGAAAAGUAGGUGUUUUCUGUCCAUAGUUAUGUGUGGUUUACACAUGUUAAUCACAUAUAUAGUUU
rnacentral:lncRNA from 1 species